CUAGUGAUUAUGGCGGUUUUAAACCGCCAUUAUCCCACAUAUAUAAAAUGAAAAAAACAAUCCCUAACUGAAACACUGUAAAUAUACGUUAAACGGCUGGCUCAAUCUCGCUUCUAUCUCUCCCUCGUCGUCAUCCUCAAUCCAUCGCUACCACUGCCGCUUCGUCUUCAACUGUCAAAAGUUCCAAGCCACACACUCCUUCUUUCCCAUUGUCGAAGUUGUUUUCCCAUGGUCACUGUCCCUAGCUAGUGCGACGAUCUCGGAUCUUCUUUCAGAUCUCGGAUCUUCUCCGGCGACGACCUCCUUCGGCGACAUCUCCUCCCGUGGUAAUCUCCUCCGGUGACAUCACCUCCAGCUUCCUCUCCUUUCCGUCCUAGUUAUGCGCCUUUUCCACCAAAAUCCUCAGCGCCUCCCUCAGCGUCUUCUCUGGUGACAUCUCUCUAUUGAAGAUCUCUAAAAUCCAAGCCAUCACAAGCAGAACAAGCACAACUCUCCCAUACUUCCUCAGUUCUUCUAUAACUUCAAAGCAUGAACUAGAUGGCAGAGUAAUCUUGGUUGAAUUUGAAACCCUUCGAUUGUUGAAUACAUAUGUUCCAAAUAAUGGGUGGAAAGAGGAACCAAACUUAUUUCAAAGGAGAAGAAAAUGAGACAAAAGGAUUCUAGAAUUUGUUACACAAAAUUCAGACAAGCCUUUGAUAUGGUGUGGGGAUCUAAAUGGAAGGACCUUGCCCAAGAAUACAUGAUCCGAAGUUGAAAGAAAGAACUUGAAAACGAUAUCGCUGCUGCUCUGCGAGCUUCUCCUCCAUCGAUCUCUCCUCCAUCAACGAUUCUCCCCUCCGUUGAUGUCACCUCCAUCAAUGCUUCUCCUCCGAUGGCAUAUUUGCUUCCAUUGAUGCGCUCUACGAGGUCAGAAAUUGGGAUUAUUAGAAGAAAUUGACUUUUGGGCCUUAUACAGCGGCAAGUGAGAGAAUUGAGAGGAACUAGUCAUGCUAAUUAUAUUGCAAUAGUGACGUUAAUUAGAAUUCCAAAUGUUGAAAAGUCAGCUCUUGCCAAUUCCUUGCAUCAAGUGGGAGAAUUAGUGCAGUAGGUAUUUAAAUUUAAAAUUUUCUUACAAUUUUGAUGUAGAGUAGUUGACAUGCUCAACUUUUGAAAAAUACAAGUUGAUGUGUAUUUUGUCAGUUUGAUGAGUUCUAUCUUGUAAAUUUAUUCCCUAUGGAAAAAUUCACCUUAUAGAAAAAGGAAAGUUGAGGCAUGAAACUGUGAGUCCAGAACCUGGGAAGACUAAAGACAUAAGAAGUUUUAAGGUUAGCUAUGUGUUUUAUCCCUGCAGUUUGUAUAAUAUUUUAAUACUUUUGUAGAGUUACAUAGUUGUAAAACUCUAUAAUAGUUUUCUUUCAUUCAAUAUUUCGUACUUCUAUUUGUUGACUUCCUAAAUAAAUUUAUUCUUUUAUAGGUGAAACAAAAAAGAUUAUUCAAACCCUGUGUCUAAUGCUACCUUUUAGCUUGCUCUCUGUUCUUUAAAAGUUUUUGACAAAGUUUUGCUGUUUAACUUUGAUAAAAAGAAUAUAAUAAAGCUCAGAAGAAUGACAUGAGGUUUGGGGGAUAAGUGAUCCUCACAAAAGAAAAAAUAGAUAAAAGAAAAGCAAUUAAUGAAGCAUAGUUAUUCUUAUCUUAUUUUUAGGAACUAGUAGGAACAAAAUUUUGCAUCCAAUUUUUAGUGCAUUAGUCUUCUGGUUUUUGUGUAUGAUUACAUGCUACCUCUUCUAAUUUUUUAAUUAAUUUUGCCUUACAAUUUCUUGUCAUAUUGCAUUCAGUUCGUUUACAAUCUCUUUGGGUUUCUUGGUUUAGGCAUUCAGUUUGUACUUAUUUAUAUCUUGGUUUAGGAAAAGUCGACAUGCUUGUAUGCGGGAUAGGUACUGGUGGUACCAUCACUGGUGCAGGAAAAUAUCUGAAAGAGAAGAAUUCUAACAUAAAGGUUAACUGUAUACUUUCAGACCAAGGAAAUCCCUUUGUUUUUCAAGAAAUUCUAUCCUUCUAACCACCCCUUCCAUCUAAAAUGAAUGGAUUUUCAGAAAAGAUAAGAGAACAAAGAUUGCAGGGUAAUGAACAAUUAACACGGGAAUUUUUAUUAUUAUCCAUCUAAGAGUGCACGUCUGCAUCCUCCAUCGAAGUUCGUUCACGUGCUGCUUUGGGUUGCCGGAGACACCAAGCAAGAGAGAGAGAGAGAGAGAGAGAGAGAGAGAGAGAGAGAGAUGAUCGACCACUAGAAGAAGAAGAUAUUAACUAUUACAGGGAGAAGAAAAACAUUUAGUAAUAAUGCACUCUAUGUUUUUGUUAUUUUGCUUCUUAGAAAUUGGAAUCAUUUAAAUAUAUUUUGUUGUCUAGUUAUUACAGCUGAAUCUUUAGCUCUGACCCUGCAAGCAUCUUGCAAUUUAAAAGAUUCAAAAGAACUUUUUGAAAGAUGUCUAAAUGCACAGAAAGUCUUACUUCCUGAUGACCAUAUUCAGGUGGAUUUGACACCGCACAUGCAGCUGCUCGAGUGGCAAUUAAGUUCCGUGGAGUGGAGGCUGACAUUAACUUCAACAUAGAAGACUACGAAGAAGACUUGAAAUGAUGAAUUUGACAAAGAAAGAAUUUGUGCACGUGCUUCGGUGACAAAGCACUGGGUUUCCAAGAGGAAGUUCCAAAUAUAGAGGCGUUACCUUGCACAAGUGUGGAAGAUGGGAGGCUUGUAUGGGCCAAUUUCUAGGCAAAAAGUACGUUUAUCUGGGCCUCUUUGAUACUGAGAUUGAAGCUGCCAGGUAUCUGCUUCUCUCAAUUUUGUUAUUUCCAAUUUCACUUUAAAUAAAUGCAUUGUGCUGAAUGAAUGCAAAUUGCAAUUUCCCUGACGCUCUAUAUAUAAAAAAGAAUUCACCUUAUCAUCAGUUUAUGUACAAAUAUUUGUUAGUGAAGUUUUUCUCUCCAAAGAAAUAUGCAAAGAUCUUCCAGUGUGUCAAGAGCUUUUGGUGAGUUCUUCAUUGAUUUGUCAACUACAGCUUCAGUUAGAUUGCCAGUAAUACAUAAUAGUAAUCUGUACUCUGCAUUAUUAUUGCAAGAAGGAGAGCAUCACCGAUCUUAUUAAUGGUAAGUCUAAUUAUAAGUCCCAAGGAGAAAAGGCCAUUCAUCUCAUACCCUUUGUGCUUUUCCUUUGUGCUUUCAUUCUUUGGAUUUUCUCUCAUCCCUGCACCUUAUAAUAAUGUACCCAAAAGAUCAAUAAUAUAUAUGCUUAAUUAGCUUCAGUAUAUAUAUAUAUAUAUAUAUCUUAAUUAUUUUUUUCUGCUUUCCAUAUGUCAUUCAUAUCCAUAUAUAAUUAGAGCGUAUUCCAUCUUUUUUGUAUACAUAUACACUUAGUAUAUGAUCGUUUUCUGAACUUGAGUCAUUUUCUAUCUCAGAUUCUCUUUACAAGAUGGAGUAAGAAACAAAGAUGUUGGAACAAGUUUUCGGGAUGAAACUCACACAAGAGACCAAGAAACUAAGGCAGGCUUGUUUUAAAGUUAAUUACGAAAGGAGGAAACUUUUGGCCUCCAAAUCUUAUUCAUCAUCACUUAGCUAAGCUAUUUGUCUUGUAUAUUCAUAUUCUAAGUAGUAAAAACAGCACUUAUUAGAUGGUUUAAAUACAUUAUUAGAUAUUAACAUAGUUUAGGGAACUGGAUGGUAGAUUUGAAUGAUUAGUGUUUAUUGCAAUGCUUGUAUUUUGGUAAGUUUAGUAAGACAAGGUUUUGUAUAGGAGUUAUUACUUUUGAUUUUCAAUAAUAAAAAAUUAUAUAUUAUAUUAA